CCGCUGUGACAGCCGCCGCCGCCGGCAGGAGGGUGCCGCUGCUCCGCUCCUCGGGAAAAUGGCCGCCCCCGACGGCCGGCAACCACCAGGCCCGACGCCGUCCCGGAAGCGGCCGGAGAUGUAGAUUGCAUCUACAGCUGACCUCUGUGAGAUAGCAGCACUCCUUCACAAGCACAAGCAAGGCCUCCCUGUGCGCCAUCAGAUUAUAAGUGAUAUAUCUUAAAGCAAAAUAAGGGCCUGAUGAGACUGACCUCUGUAGAGCUAGCUCCGCAGAUGUAGAGACUGCAACAGAACAACUAAGACUGGGGUGAAUUCUGAACAGCAGAGUAUAUGUGAAAGCAACAGAAAAGCAGCAAGGCAAGGGUUAAAAGAAUGACCAAGCGCACAACUGAGAGCAGCAAAGCUGGUAAACACUGAGGAUGGGCUGCGUAAACUGAGAGCAGACGGCCUGCGCUCUGAUAAGGUGAUAAGGCGCUCUCACAGAUGAUUUGUCAGAAGGCCUGUGCUCUGGGAACAGGAGGAUGGCAAUGAGGUCAGCGCAUACUGUAAACACCAUCCCUGUCCCUGCUGUCACAACAGGAGGGCAGAACAUAGCAUGGAGAUAACCAAAACGGGGAAACAAAGCAAACAGGGAGCUACCCUGCCCAAGAUUAAUAGAGGCUGAAGCAGUCAAGAAUUGGAGGGAAGCAACAGAUUACAUUAUUCUAACUCCUGAUCAUAAAAGACCUGCCCAGAAAGUAGUCUGUCAUCACCAAUCCAGAGGAUGCCAGGAGACAGUAAGGGCUCAACAGAGACCAUAAGGACUGGACAGGCAGCAUACUCCUGCACACAAGCCAUGCCGGCUACCCAACUUGGAUACACACCUCUUGGAACCUGCAAGUAUGCAAAUGUGAGAAAAUGUGAGUGAAGCAUAUGAGAAAAUUAUUAUGUGGGACCAAAAUAAGUUGUUUCUUUCUAAAUAAAUAUUACCUUCCAAUUC